CACUUAACCCCAACUGCAUCACUAAAAAAAAAAAAAAAAACAGAGAAGAUUAGCAUGGCCCCUGUGCAAGGAUGACACACAAAUUCAUGAAGCGUUCCAUAUUUUU